rnacentral:lncRNA from 1 species
UAUAUGAUAUGGAAACAUCUUGCAUGUCAAACAUAUUCCGAGAACGCAUGCCUAUUUCACCAUUUCCAUUGAUAAUUUAACAGAGCAGACAUUGGCCUAUUGCAACCUACUACAGCGCAUGCACACCUUAUUACAAAUCUGACAGGACUAUCACCUAAAGAAGGAACAAAACAGCGGACACGGCGACCGCACCGAGCAGACCAACUCCGCCGGUGACGGCGUGACGGGAAGAGGAGCUUGCCGGACCAGGCGCUGGGGCGGGCGCGUGAUGAUGUGGUGACGGCGCAGGGGAAUGCUGAGUGGGCGCGUGAGCCGCCGCUGUAACUUGUUGGCUGCCAAGCCGCUCGGUAUGGUUGGGGACGGAUGUUGACGAGGACGGAGAGUGCGCCGGAGCAUGGUGAUGAUGAUGAUGGCGAUGGCGAUGGUGGUGGUGGUGAGCCGGCGCCGGUGCUGUAGCGUGGUGGCCGUGGUGGUGCGGGCUUGGUGCCUUGUGUAGCUCGUCGGCGUCGAGGUGGUACGGCGACGGCGCCUCAGAGUGAUGGCCGCGGUACCACUCCGUGUCUGUAGAAGUGUCCAGCUCAUCCGCGUCGAUGUGGUGGCUCGGCGACGGGGCCGGAGGGUGGUGAUGGUGGUGGUNNNNNNNNNNNNNNNNNNNNNNNNNNNNNNNNNNNNNNNNNNNNNNNNNNNNNNNNNNNNNNNNNNNNNNNNNNNNNNNNNNNNNNNNNNNNNNNNNNNNNNNNNNNNNNNNNNNNNNNNNNNNNNNNNNNNNNNNNNNNNNNNNNNNNNNNNNNNNNNNNNNNNNNNNNNNNNNNNNNNNNNNNNNNNNNNNNNNNNNNNNNNNNNNNNNNNNNNNNNNNNNNNNNNNNNNNNNNUGAUGAUGGUGGUGGCUCGGCGACGGGGCCGGAGCGUGGUGAUGGUGGUGGCUCGGCGACGGGGCCGGAGCGUGGUGAUGAUGGUGGUGGCUCGGCGACGGGGCAGGAGCGUGGUGAUGAUGAGCGCUCGGCGCGGGGGCAAGAUGGCCAGGAUGGUGAGCGGGGCUGGGCGCUUGAGCCGGCGCGUGGUGGUGGUCCUCGUGCGCCGAGGAGAGCGCGACCAGCGAGGCCAGCAGCAGUGCCAUCACCACGGCGGUUGGCGAGAGAGGAGUCGCCAUGGCAACAAGCUUUGGGAGUGGUGGUGGUGGAAUUGUUGCUGUGGUUGUGACAGUCGGGGAGCGGGUCUAUAUAUAGCGACGAGCACGCGUAUCUGGAAGAGGGGAGGGGGCCGUCCUCUCUACUAUGGAAAGUAUUCAAUCUUGCGCAUUAAUGCUUACUAUAAAAAUGCGAUUUCCAUUGAUUCGUUUCCGAUCGUCCAAUUCGCUACACUGGCAGGAAAUAAAUGGGUGUCAUUUAUUCGUGUAUACUCUCUCCGUCCAGAAAUAUUUGUGCUAGAAACGGAUGCAUCUAAAUUUAUAUUAAUUAUAGAUACAUCCAUUUUAUUAAACUUAUUUUAAUUAUAGAUACAUCCAUUUUAUUCAUUUCUAGGACAAGUAUUUUUGGACGAAGGGAGUAGCUGGCAGCAUUAUGGGAACAUAUGGACAUUUGACUGUGAUCUGUCAAAUAUCGUGUGAACCGUUGAGUAUAUUUACGAUAUUUAAAUUGUUGCCCACAGAAAAAAUCUCGACCAUUUAUUAGAAAAAUCAUAAUUGCAUCACGAUUAAUAUUAUAAAAAUCUUCCUAAAAAAGAGAGGGAAAAACCUACGACGCUUGCAGCAGACUGUAAGCAUCACAGGAGGCGGCCAAGGCCCAAGGGGCCGUCUGAUCUGGCAAGGUGCUGGCUGGAGCUGGCCCAAAUGUGCGGCUCGCUGGAUCAAACGACGGUUUUGGGCAUAUGCCGUGCAACGAGCCCAGAAAAAAUUACUCCUUUGGGGUGACCGGUGGUUGUUGGACUAAUUAAUGAUGUACAAACUUUACAAGAAAUAACUCGUAGCAUGGAGGUGCACAUUGCAAAAAUUAUAGAGAGACCAACAUUUAUUCUAACCAAGUUUGCUGGAAAGCAAGAACCUAAUCCGGGUGAGAGUGUACAGACGACGGGUGUGAGUCGUUGAACAUCGAUCCAUUCGCGCCGCCCGCAACCUCCAGUUCUCCGGUGCUCCUCGCCUCGCCGCCGCAUGAGGUCCUACUGGCGAAGUCCGGCCAGGGCUGGGGACGACACCGACUGGGCGUUUCCCUGCGGUGCCAUCACUCUCUCCUGGUUUGGUUUUUGUUGAUGGCUACGACUCGUGGGCGGUACCGGCUAGAUCUGUGGUGGAUUGUGGCCAUGGGAUCCAUCUUUCCACUCAAAGUAUUAAUUUCUUCAAUAGCAUGCACUUUUUUAGUAGAAGAUUUUUCGGUAUGCCAUUAAAAAUAAUUUGAUAUAAUAUUAUUUAGGAGGUUAGUAGCUUCUCCUAAUGUGAUUUCCAUAAAAGUACCACCCGCGACAAAAUCUAAAAGAUUUCUAGAUGCAAAAUUCAAUCUAGCAUAAAAAAUUUGUAUGAUCAUCCAUAAACUUAAACCAUGAGUAGGGCAAUUUCUUAUCAUUAAUUUCAUCCUCUUCCAAGAUUGUGCAACAUGUUCAUGAUCAAAUUGUUUAAAAUUUAUUAUAUUGUUCUUAAGAGAGAUGAUCUUAACGGGAGGAAAAUACUUGGAAAUAAAAUUAUCCUUACACUUAUCACAUGAAUCAAUACUAUUUUUAGGCAAGGAUGAAAACCAAGUUUUAGAGCCAUCUCGUAAUGAGAAGAAACAACUUCAAUUUAACAAUAUCAUUAUCCACAUCUUUUUUCUUUUGUAUAUCAUGCAAUUUAGCGAAAGUAUUAAGAUAGGAUGCAACAUCUUCAUUAGGACUACCAAAAAUUGUUGAUUCAACAAAGCGGCAUUAAUUUUAUAAGAUUCCGCACUAGUGAUGGGAGCAAUUGGAGUACUAAUAAAAUCAUUAUUAUUAGUGUUGGAAAAAUCACACAACUUAGUAUUUCUUGAGACAUCGUGACAAAGCAAGCAAUCUAGCACACAAGAAAAAAAAGCAAAUGAAAAGACAAAUGGAAAGAAUGCAAAUAAAAAGGCAAAUAUUUUUGCUUUUUCUGAAAAUGUUUUAGAAAUGGGGGAGAGAAAGAUGAGAGGCAAAUAGAGAAUAAUGUAAGUGCAGGAUAUGAUAGUUUAUGGUAGGUACUUGGUAGGCUUGAUGUAGAUCCUCCCAGAUAACGGCGUCGGAAAUUCUUUCAGCUACUUCUUGAGCUUGCAUUGGUUUUUUCCUUGAAGAGGAAAGGGUGAUGCAGCAAAGUAGAGAUAAGUAUUUCCCUCACUUAAGAACUAAGGUAUCAAUCCAGUAGGAGAAACACACAAGUACCCAAUGAUUGCACUUACACAAACAAACAAAUACUUGCACCAACGCAAAAAGGAGUCGUCAAUCCCUUCACGGUUACUUGGAAGGAUGAGAUCUGAUAGAGAUAGUAUAAAAGAUAAGUAAAAGUGCAAAAUAAAGUAAAGAUAAAUAAAUUGCAGCAAGGUAUUUUUGUGUUUUUUGAUUUAAUAUGAUAAAAAUAGACCCGGAGGCCAUAGUUUUCACUAGAGGCUUCUCUCUUGAAAGGAAGCAUACGGCGGGUAAACAAAUUACUGUUGAGCAAUUGAUAGAAAAGCGCAAAGUUAUGAUGAUAUCUAAGGCAAUGAUCAUGAAUAUAGGCAUCACGUCUGUGAAAAGUAGACUGACUCCUGCCUUCAUCUACUACUAUUACUCCACACAUCGACCGCUAUCCAGCAUGUAUCUAGUGUAUUAUGUUAACAAGAACGAAGUAACGCCUUAACCAAGAUGACAUGAUGUAGAGGGAUAGAUCCAGUCAAUAUGAAUAAACCCCAGCUUUUUAUCCUUAGUAGCAAUAAUACAAAUACGUGUCAUGUCCCUUCUGUCACUAGGUAUUGUCGGAUUUCGGGUGCCGCAAACCCUUGAGAGGCUCGAACUCUGGGGUGCAUGCGAAGAACUCAACCUCCCCAGUCUGCCUACUCGCCAAUCUCAUAGCCUAGGUCGACGAACUCGAAGGAAAGGGGACACGAUAGUUUACCCAAGUUCGGGCCACCUUGCGGUGUAAAACCCUACUUCUGCUUUGUGGUGGAUUUGGCUCGAAGGGCCGAGGAUGAACUAGUACAGAGGAGAACAACCUCAGGAGGUGUGUUCUUGAGCUCGAGCAAGCUGGUGAGGGUGGAAUUGAUUCGAUCCUCUCCUAUGGUGGUGGCUAGGUCCUAUUUAUAGUGGCCUUGGUCCUCUUCCCAAACAAAGGCGGGAAGGGAUCCCACAACGGCCAAAUUCGAAGGGAGACAACUAGUACAUCUUAUCCUGACAAAAGUGGUCUUCGCCUGUAAAAGCUUCUGGUCAUGAUGCCACGGUGGGCUUGGCGAUGACCUCCAUCCUGCCGUCCUGGCGAUCUUGGCCUUGUUGCACGGGAAUGGAAACCUUUGGCUGAUUCCCCGGGACUCCGUGCCUGCGCUUGUCUUGGCACCAAAGAGGAAACUGGUACACUGUGCCCGCUGGCGCCCACCUGGCCUUGGUCAUCAUGGCUCACGUCACCCGAACCUCGCGAGGUGAGCCUUGCAUAGAAAUCUUCGCUCCUGGGGAGCCAUCCUAAGGAGGCUGCUCCCUUGGAGGUCUUGGUGUCGUUCGCCUCGCGAGGCUUGGCCCCUCGCGAGGGUCUUGAGUCGUCGAAGUCGAGGCUGGGCCUGUCAGGACCCCGAUCCUAAGUCACACUGAUCUAGCAUGUAACACAUCAUAUCACUUUGCGGCCUCACGCACGGUAUUCCCACAGGUGCCACCUUACCUGGCCCGGGACUGUUUGCGCCUUUUGGCUCACGUAUAUGACAGUGCCGCUAGCAUCCAUAUGACAAAGAACCCGGGUCGACAUGACUAGUUGUAAAUCCAAGGUGACGCUAACUUACAGGGACAGGCAUACAUGACCCAGCAACGAAUGUGUCAAUCAACAACGUAUGAACCCAAGUUGUAGCAAGCUACAGGGACUUAAAGGAACAACGAGUGACAUUUCCCCGAAGAGACAGACACAAGAACGAAGAAGGACACAUGCCGGCCAGCCUAAGUGUUCUGGAGCAGUAGCAAGCUACCAUGGCUCAGUGGAAGCACUAGGAGACAUUUCCUGGUAAGAGAGGCUACCAAGAAUAAACAACUAGGUUGUCGGAUCCCACACAUACCAAGCAUUUCAAUGACAUACACACAAUAUGCUCGAUAUGUGCAAAUACAACAUGGCAUCACAACAAAACUCUACGACUCAAAGUAUUUAUUCAAUAGGCUCCAAGGAGCCAAGUAUUACAAUCAUGGGUAUCAUGACCCAACAAUCAGAGCAUACAAACUAAAAGCACAUGCAGAAGCUUAACAUGUCUGAGUACAUACAACUACAAAUGAAAAGGGCUGAGAAGCCUGACUAUCUACAAGACCCUCCAGAGGGCACAAGAUCGUAGCUGAGGUAACAAGCUAAAUGUCGAAGUCCAUGCAAAACUACUCGUGAGACUGGAGUCUCUCUGCAAAAACAUAAAUUAAGCAAACGUGAGUAUAAAUGUACCCAACAAGACUUACAUCAGAACUAUCUACACAUGCAUCAGUAUCAACAAAAGGGAUGGUGGGGUUUAACUGCAGCAAGCCAACUUUGACUCGGUGGCUAUCCUGAACUACGACUGCAAGUAACUCUUUUGAGGUGGCGCACACGAGUCCACAUAUUCACCAUAACAAUACACCACUAUGGAUCCGCUCCCGUCUCCCUACGAGAACGCCAUCCAUAGCACUCACGCUUUUCUUGCGUAUUUUAGAGUAUCCAUUUUCACUUGUCUAUGAACUAUACAGGCAACCCAGAGGUCCUUUACCGCGGAGGUGGCUAUUCGGAUAGAUCAUUUAUAACCCUGCAGGGGUGUACUUCUGCACACACGCUCUCGCCACUUACUGCCAUGUACACGUCAUGUAUCUCGGCAAUCUUCAAGCGAAAGCCUGGUGAGGGUGUCGGCCAUGAUCUGACUAACCACACAAGUCCCUAGUCCAGGUUUAUCGCAUAUUCAGGUUCCAUCUGUAGGGAGUCCGGCCGAGGUUUCCACAUACGGCCCCGAACGAUGUGUGCAGGGUUCCCAGGUCACCAAACGGGCGACUCGGUACAUCGGGCCACAUGCCUACUGCAUCACAGCCCACCCCUCAGGUUAGCGCUGCGCACGGCCUCCAGCAUACUACAAACACCAGAAACUACUUGCAACUCCCGGAUAGAGGACAUGGGCGGUUAAUAAGUUGAGAGGGUCCAUUGGUUUCAGGUCCAUCGCGUGGUAGUAGUUGUUCAUGGAUCACAAACACAGAACUCAGUUCCUGAGGACGGUUUCAAUGAGACAACCCACCACGUACUCCUACAUGGCCUCUCACCGCUAAUUUUACCAAAUCAUGUUCACACACUUAGCUCUCACAUAGUAGGACAUGUUCAUCACCAUUCCAAUGCAUCCCCGAUGAAUCAGACCUGACUCAACUCUAAGCAGUAGCAGGCAUGGCAAACAAGCAUGAAUGAGUAGGCACAUCAGGGCUGAAACAACUCCUACUCAUGCUAGUGGGUUUCAUCUAUUUACUGUGGCAAUGACAGGUCAUGCAGAGGAAAGGGGUUAAACUACCACAUCAAGUAACAGAUGAAUCAUUGUUGUCCUAAUGCAGUAAAAGAGAGCAGGAGUGAGAGAGUGGGUUUGUAUUGGAAUGAACAAGGGAGUUUUUGCUUGCCUGACACUUCUGAACAUAGUAUAGUUCUUCAUGGGUGUCAUAGAUCACAUCGUCGGAACGUCGUCUACACAGAGGGGACAAAUACCGGCAAACAAGGAAGAACACAACCAAUGCAAUGCACAGUAUGAUGCAUGAUCAUGACAUGGAAAUAUGCCGUGAUUGAGCUAAUGCAACUAAAACCAGAAGGGUUUGAGCUAUUUGAACCCAAGGUUCAAAUUCAAAGUCAAACUAAGAAUUUAUAAAGUGCAUUAUCAUGUUUUGAUCUAACAGCAAGGUUAAGUUGUUUAAACAUGCAUGAAACCAGUACAGAUGGAUAGAUUGAAUUUUUUGAUCAUUUUUCAUAUAUAAAACUUUUCAUUCUGAGUUACGGUUGAAUUUAUAUGAUUUUUAGAAGUUUAAAGAAUUUUCUAGAAUUUCUAAAUCUUUUCUGAUUUAUUUUAAUUCCAGAAAGGCUUUACCGCGUCAGCACCGCGUCAUCAUGACGUCAACGAGUCAACAUGGUGCGGUCCUGGUCAAACCUGACGUGUGAGUCCACACGUUAGUGACUAACUAACUAACCUAAGUUAAUUAGUGUUAAACUAAUACCAACUGAAAGUGUUAGUGGAGUUAAUUAAACUUAAUUAAAAACUAAACUAGGAUUAGCAAGGGCCAGGGCCCACUCGUUAGCGACCCAGGGGAGGUCAAACCCCUGGUCAGAGGGGUCAGACCCACCGGCGAGGCCGAACACGGCGGAGGCUUCGGGUUCACUACUCCGGCGACCAAACGGCCGGCGGAGAGCAUCUACAUGGAGUUGGCGGGGUGGCGCAUCCAGUGGUGGCGGUGGCUGAAGCUAGGGUGGUCGGAGUCGACAAUGGCAAGUUCUAAGGCGGUGACCGAAGUUUGAGCAAGCUCGGGUUCGGGGGCUACGGUGUGCAAAAGGACGAACCGAAGCAACCGCGAGGCUCACGUGUUGUUGUGAAGCGUUUGGAUGCACUGGCGCGACCAAAUGGUCGCCGGAGCUACGCUAGCGACGAGCUCCUGUGGCGGAGCAUCUCAGCUCCGAAGGAGGAGGCGGCUAGUGGACAAAAUGAGCUCGAGGAGGAGGGGGAGAGAUGGCGGAGCUCACAGUGAGUGCAACGGUGGCCUCGGCGAGCUCGGGGAGGGGCUGGAGCGUGUGGGGCGGUGAGGGGGAUCUCUAGCAGUUGACGAUGAAGAUGAAGACGACGACGUUACUUCAGGCGUCCCGCGGGCGCGUGCUUCGUCUUGGUGCUCCGUGGUGUCAAGGUGGAGCCUCUGGACAGCACGGAGAGGCGGGGUGGUGGCUCUGGCCACGACAACGACGAGCGGCGGCGACAGCGACGCUCGGAUGGUGCAGGGGACAGAACAAGAGGAGGGGAGAGAGAUCCAGGGGGAGUGAGAGGUGGUCGGGGAGGUGCGUGGCGAAGCGAGGGAGUUCCAGGGGGUCAAGGGGGCAGCUAGGCAGGGAGGAGGUGGCCGCACGGCGGUGCGCGUGCGUCGGGCACGCGCCCGUCCUCCUGGCAGGGAGGAAGACGGCAGGAGGGGGUGGCCAGGCGGGCUGGGCCGCCAGCUGGGCUGCCAGGUAAGGCCCAGGUGGGUUUCCCUCUCUCUCUGCUUUUUCUUCCGUUUUCUAUUUUCUAUAAUUGUUUUGGCUUUAUUAAAAAAUGCCAGCGCAUUUCCAAAAAUCGUGAGACUGCUUGUGGCCACUGUUUGGAUUAUUUCCAACAGUAAACAUUUCAGUUCAUGGAUAUUUGGACGUUUAAAAUAAUAUAUAAAAAUUAAAUGCCCAAAUGCAAAUAAGGUAUGAUUUAAUUCAGUGACCCAAUGUUGUCCUAGAAAAAUGUGAACCAUUUUUGUUAGAGGUUCUAGACCAAGGCAAAGAUGAUGAACAUUUUUGAAGGGCAUUUCAGGUUCAUUGAAAACUAUUUUAGUAACCCUAGUUGGAUUAAGUGGUGCUGGGGGUUUCUGUCAUCCCCAUUUCCAAGUUUCUGAGGAAUUUAAACAUGAUGCAACACUCUAAUGCAUGCACUGACUAGGGUUGUGACAACUCACCCUCACUAAACAAGGAUCUCAUCCCGAGAUUCAAGCAUAGGGUAAGAUGAAGGGGGGACACAGACUAACACAAUCUUCACGAUCCAGGUUGCACUUCAUAAGAACAUUGAUUCGAUCACCAUCUUUGUCUCGAUGUCUUGCUCUGAGAACUCCAACCAACAUGACAACGAGAGGAAAGGGAAAACUCUAGAAGGAUCGAUCUUCUCGAAGAUUGAACAACUCAGGAUCAACUCACGGAGUGAGACAUUGAAACAUCUCUCGAGCUGAGACACGAAGCAUACAUCCAAAGGGAUGGAGUGAAACAGAUGAUGAAGGCUCACUAGGUAGGUAACAAUUCCACACCUAAGAAGAUGGUGGACGAAGUCAGAGUAGCGAGGAGUUAAUUGCUAUGAUUCCAUAGCAGGGCACCUCAAGGAAGGUGACUUGUAGAAUCAUCCCUUAAGUGGCAAAAAUAAUUACUUUUGAUUCAGAGAACAUUGAAAUUCUCUAUACCAGCCUAAGGCAAAUCAUAGUCGAUCAUUUGAAGGAGUCCGAAAGAAUGACAUACUCGGACUAGGAUGGGUGAGGUGGACUACCUUUUUGAUGACAACACAAUGGAUGAUUUUAUUUAUCAUCAAAAAUGGAUGGAACCCAUGGUAGGUCCACUUUUGAAGAUGAUUCUGAAUAACAACCACUGGAAGGGUAGACCAUAGUGAGAUGGCACACUGGCGAUGCAAGAUGGGAACAAGAUGAAAAUGCUGGGAAUGAUUCUAGUAACUGGGGAGAAACCCAACAGUAGAGAGUGAGUCCACUGUUUGAAAGGUUAUAGCAUAACCGAGGAAACUGAGAGCACUAUGCAAUUAAUGUCGACAAAAAAACCUAGUGCUUGCGCGUGCUCUCAAGAACUUGAGCAUUUCCAUAUUCAUCAAGGUUUUACCAACAUCUGCCAGAUCUUGGUGACACCUUGUACUACCAUGAUGAAUAGUGAUGGAGGGUGCAGAUGCAAGGGAAGAUAACAUCUUCUCAGAUUUCACCUUAGCGAGGCCAAGGACACAAAAUCUAGAUGAUCGACCGAGAGACAUUUAGCAUUCCGCUUCUAAUUCUCCUUGAUGUACUAGCGUAACCCAUUUAUAGAUAUGGUUUGGUAUCUUGAACAUCAAGUAAAAGGUCGGACUUUGGGAGCUCAGGAAUCCAUAAGGAAUAACUAUGGAAGUAAAUCUUACGAAAUCCUUAUGGGGAGGUGGCCAACUGCCUCAAUCAAAAUACUACAAUAACUGCUCUUCCGGCUGGGUGUGUUGGCCACGACAUCCACUUUACGGGUUACAAAGAGACCAAUAUUAUAGUUCUUGGAAAAUGUUCCAACCAUCAUAUCUGCCUGAGAUUCAGAUCUGGUUGGUGUCAGGAUAUUCUAGACUCAUCAAGUCUAGAGAGAAAAAUGAAAGUUUGCAACACAAAUCGACGAGACGGCAUUGCGAGAUUCUCGGGGAAUGAACUGCGAUAGCAAGCUCCAAAACAUGAGCUGGUUCUGCUACACAUAUGUGAACACGCUGUCCCAGACAAGCAUGACCACAUAGUAGUCUUAUAAUAAAACACUACCGAGUUCAGGUGGGGAACCAUCAUUUCAGAUAACGAAGUCCUUGAUUAAGCCCGGGUUAGCUCUUAAAAGGAACUCCUUCUCCUGGAACAAAUCGGUUAGUGGCUUGGUGUGCUAGCGAUACAUAUGGAGUGAAGGUUGCAAGUCUCCAAACCAUAGAAUACUUCGCACGUAUGCAUGACCUAUUUGGGAUGAUUCCAGAGGAAGCAACAUUGACUUUCUCGAAUUCACGGCGGCAACUUGCAUCAAAUGCACAUGAAUGGGAGAAAAUCACUUCUUACAUCCGAACAUAUGCUUCAUGAGCGGGACAUGAAGAUAAUGCUUAUAAAAGUUUCCAACACUAGCUGGAUGUUCAACACAAAUCAUGGAGAGGAUAAAAUGCUACUGAUGAGCUCAACAACAAGUCAUCGAGAUUCCCAUGGAGAUGGAAUUCCACAAUUAUGUGAACAAGGUGAUAGCAUUGGUCAGACCCAAAAGAUAUAAUGGUGUAUGCUUGAGGAAACAAUCAUGAGUAAGACAACAUUACGAAUAUCGUUGGUACUGAUUUGAUUUGACGAUAGCCCAUACUUAAAUCAAAGAUUCAGGUAAGAUAAUAGGUCCAGCAAUUGAUCACGAAGACCAAUCAAUGGAGAUAUCAUAUUUCUUCAACACACAUAAACAAAAAUAUCCCUUUAUAAUGAACUAAGUUAGGCAAGCUUUUAUCUUCCAACUCUCCAAGUUGUUGUCUAGCUUAACCAACUAGCUCAGGGGUGUGCAACACAGAUUCUUGGAGAAGGGGUGGUUACAAGAAACCAACUUGAUCACGAACUCAACAUAACAGUCAGGGGACAACUUGGUGAUACUUCCAAGAAGAUAUUUGAAAAAUCACAAACCACCGAUAUGCUAUUAAUCUCGAGAACAAUCUUGCUUUUCAGGGCAAGACGAGAUGAUCAAAUAAGCAAGGGAUUGACAUAAUCCUAACUCAUUGAUCGAAGAGUGCACCAAAAAUAAGGACUAGGUAGCACAAUCUAUCUUAGAAUGAUGAUUCAAGAACCAACACACUAGGAAUGAAGUUAUUGUCCUUUAACUACCAAGUAACAAGGUUGCUAGGGGUAUUGAUUUCACACAUCAUAGUUCACCUAUCGGUAUUCCGGUUGCAACAACACAGGAACCGAUAAAUGAAUAAUGAGGACGAGAAGUAUCACUGUAUCAAGAGUUCAUUGGAUGGUGUGCAAUUCCCAUGAUAUUCUUGAUAUAAAGAUGGUAAUACUCCAAGGUAGAACAUAACAAAAGCUGGAUUGGCAUUUUGAUCUACGGAAUACAACUGCUUUGACCCAAUCAUGGAUAUGGAUGAGGUACUGGAGUUUGUUUCUCCUAGUCAUUCCGAAUAGAAUGGCUUGACGGACCACAAGAAUAAUAGGCAUCGAUAACAUGAAUGCAUAACUACUCCCGACUAUCAAUUGAUAGACGAGGGUCAGAAGACAACUAAAGAGGGACAACUCAAAGGAACAUACGAUAUUCUGAGUUGUGGAUGCAUAGAUUAGUAUGUCGAACGAGUUCAACAUAUUUCUUCCGGAUAACCCAUGCAGAAAAGUAGAACUGGCAGAGUCAUAAUAUGGAAUGGGAAACUCAUCGAGAGCACUCUUAUUGUGAUCUUUUGGUUCAAAGAACUUCUGCCAUAAGCAGUUCAUGGUAUUUGGAAGAACGAUAUACCACGAACCUCGAAGACUAUUGCAAAGGUUACUAAUAUCCUAAAGUAACUAGAAAACACUAUCAACAUGGAGUAAGUAGGUGAAUCUUGGGUUUAAGAACCCAGGAAUAGAAUGCAUACUAACUAAAUGGCAUCACGGGAUGCUUUCGAGAGUAAUGGCCAGAAUCAUCACACUGGAACACAAAACAUGGCUAGAUUACUAGGUGAUACUCUAGACACCUAGGGUCAUAAUAAUAGCUUCAACAUAUAUGCCGAGGCGAUAGAGUACCUCAACACACUAGUUAGUGCGGUUUAUCUGGCAUAAAGAAACUUCGGAAUGGCAAGAAGGGAGGUACAAAUGCAUCAGACUAUUUUAGAAACCUUGGAUGACUCGGACAUCAUAACGGCUGUAAAUGCUCAAAAUGAUUUGAGACUUCCUGCAAAAUGGUGGCAUAACCACUCAACAUCACAAUACCAAGGUUCCGAGGCCAACUAUGAACACACGGAAGUAGUAGAGACUGAACUGAGGCUUAAAUCCAUCAAUCCUAUAAGUCUACAGAUUAGUAAGAUGUGAUCUUGAUAGAAAGAAGAGGAAGCCUAGUUUGUCGGCGUUCUGGAUAUGGGGGUACCCUGACUUGCCUGCCUGCGGCCCACUACGCGGCUCCAUCGGUGGCCUGGUAUGACCCAACUUCAGCAUCGACAGCUCAAGACCCUCGCGAGGGGCCAAGCCUCGUGAGGCAGACAACGCCAAGACCCCUAAGGGAAUCAGCCUCCUCAGGUUGGCUCCCGAGGGGCGGGGAGUUCUAUGCAAGGUGCACCUCACGAGACUCAGUUGACAUGAGCCAUGAUGACCAAGGCCAGGUGGGCGCCAGCGGGCGCAGAGCGCCAGUUUCCCCUUUGGUGCAAAGGAGGCAAGCGGCAGGUGCGGAGUCCCGAGGAACCAGCCAAAGAUUUCCAUUCUGGUGCAACAAGACCAAGACCGCCAGAUGGCAGGACGGAGGUCAUCACCGAGCCCACCGCAGCGUCAUGACCAAAGGCUUUUUGCAGGCGAAGACCACUUUAGUCAGGAUAGGAUGUAGUACUUGUCCCCCUUCAAAUCCGGCCGUUGUGGGACCCCUUCCUGCCAACAUUUGGGAAGAGGACCAAGGCCACUAUAAAUAGGACUUAGCCUCCACCAAAGGGGAGGACAGAAAGAUCAGAUCCCUUCUCAUCCAGCCACCUCACCAGCUCUCUUGAGCUCAAGAACACCUCGCCUCCUGAGGUCAGUUCAUCCACUAUAGUAGUUCAUCCUCAGCCCUUCGAGGCAAUCCACCAAAAUGCUGGAGUAGGGUAUUACAACGCAAGGUGGCCCGAACCAGGAUAAACUACUGCAUCUCCUUGUCCCUUUGAGCUUGACGCGCUAGGCUUAGGAGGAUCGCGAGUAGGCAGGCUGGGUAGGUUGAGAUCUCCGCACGCACCCCAGAGUUCGAACCUACCAAGGGUUUGCCGAACCCGUAAUCCGACAUUUGGCAUGCCAGGUAGGGGUGCGUCGGAGAUCCGCUGCUCCGUCCGUCACAUCGUGCCUCCGGCUUUGAUGGCGGGAGCUCCUUCGUCGACUCGACCGUCGCGUGCCUUUGAGGGGGGCGAGGGGCUCCGCGCUUUCAACCCCUCCUUGUGACGGGUGGAUUGGCCACCUAAGUUCAAGCCAGAGAUGUCGCCUCGCUACAAUGGCACGGUGGACCCGACUGGCUUCCUCUAGGCAUACGAGGAGGCGAUCUGGGCGGCCAGCGGAAGCGACAAGGUGAAGGCCAACUGGCUCCCCAUGGCCCUCAUGGGUGCACCGUGUGCCUGGCUGCUCAACCUGCCGGCAUCCUCCGUGGCCUCCUGGGAGGAGCUGCACGGCCUCUUUGUCGCGCGCUUCAAAGCGCCGGCGCCUCUCGUCGUUGUAUCUCUCCUAGGUGGCUCGCAGGCACCACCCUCUGACCGACACAUCAAGCAGUUCUACCGCCAAGUGAGCACUGCCCAAGUGAGCCCCGGGGCCCCUCCGGGCUAGGCAACGCCUAUGGCUGACCUCGCCUUCGGACCAGAAUAUCAUCCAACAACUACGGCAGGAGCAGGCGCGCUCUCGAUGCUCUGCACCCCCACCAUCUGCAACGUGGCACUCACCAAGACCCUCAUCGAUGGCGGAGCCGGCCUCAACGUGCUCUCUGCAGAGGCAUUCGGCCUGCUACAUGUGCCCCCCAACCGGCUCCGCCCCACCAAGCCUUUCUCCGGAGUCGGUGGUGGCUUCACCAACCCCUUGGGGCAGAUCUGCCUCCCCGUCACCUUCGAGACCCGGGACAACUACCGCACCGAGCUCAUGGACUUCGACAUUGCCAGGAUUGACCUACCAUACAAUGCCAUUCCAGGGUACCCCGCUCUGGCCAAGUUCAUGGCGGCAACCCAUCCAGCCUACAACCUCAUGAAGAUGCCAAGAAGCAACGGUGUCCUCACGGUGGCAGGGGACACCAAGGACGCGCUGCAGGUCCUCAAGCUCGCUUUUAGGUCUGCGGCGUCUGUGCUGCCUGGUGAGAAAGGGGGCCCUAAGGCCCCAGGGGCAGCGCCAGCCAAGAAGAAGCAGCUGUUCUCCCAAGACCGAGCCGAGAUGAAGCAAGUGGUGGUCAAUGAAGACGGGGCAUCAAGCUCCACCUUUACCAUAGGAGCUGGCCUCCCUCAGGGCUAAGAGAAAGUGUUGGUCGACUUCUUGCACGCCAACAAGGACGUGUUCGCAUGGGAGCCCAAAGAUCUGGUUGGGGUUCCAAGGGGAAUAAUCGAGCACCACCUGAAGGUAUGCCCAAACGUGCAUCCAGUGAAGCAGAAGGCCCGCCGCCAGUCCACCGAGAAGCAGGCAUUCACUACAAAAAAAAGACACAUCCGUGACAUUUUGGGCCGAACGAAUUUUUUUUCUGUCAUACAUAUGACACUUCUAUGACGAUAAUUGUGACAAAACCCGGUAUCAUCAAUGAUGUGGUGGGCUCCUACUUCUAUGACAAAAAAUCAUGACAGAAAAUGGGCUUUUCGUCCUGGGCGGGCUGGAGACGCAGCUGCAUGACAUUCUUUGGGCCGUCCAUGACGGAAAAAACCGUGGUAGAAGCGAGGGGGAGGAAAAUUUCGGGGAGUUGCCAGUUACGGUGGGAGGUCGGGGGCGGAGCGAUGCGUGUUUCUCUCGUACGUACGCGCGUGUGUGCGAGGCGUUGGCUCUAACUGAACCCGAGCGAGGCGUUGGGCUCUAACUGAACCCGAGCGAUUGCACUGUAGGCUACGCGUUACUGAACCCGAGCGAUCGAUCAAUGGCUGUUAACUAAACCCGAUGGAGCGAUUCCUUCGCUACUGCUGCUAACUGAAGCCGAUCGAUGCUGCCUCUGGGAUGAACAGUGAGCUUUGUGGGGGUGGGGUUGGAUGAACAGUGAGCGGUGGCGUUGCCUCUGGAUGAACAGGAACCCAUGGUGUGGAGGGCUGGAUGAACAGUAAACAGUGGAGGGGUGGCCGUGGAGGGGUGGUUGAAUAGGACCCCGUGGUGUGGAGGGCUGGAUGAACAAUAGACGGUGGAGGGGUGCCCGUGGAGGGGUGGUUGAACAGUAGCCGGUGGAGUAGCGCGCGGAGGAGGCUGGAUGAACAGGAGCCUGUGGAGGCUAGAGGAGGUCGACGGUAGCCCGUGGAGGCUGGAGGAGGUCGACGGUGGAGAUGAACAUUAUCCCGUGGAGUCCCAUUUUGCGGUACGCCACACCCCUCCCGAUGAACAGGACCCCUGUUUCGACCGUUGCGCUCCAACACAAGUCCGUUUCGUCCAUUUUGCGGUAUCCACACCCCUCCCGAUCAACAGGACCCUCGUUUCGACCGUAGGAGGUCCGUUUCCUCCGUUUUGCAGUACGCCACACCCCUCCCGAUCAACAGGACCCCCGUUUUGACCGUAGGAGGUCCGUUUCCUCCGUUUUGCGGUACGCCACAACCCUCCCGAUCAACAGGACCCCCGUUUCGAACGCGGUCGGUCGAACACAAGGCCGUUUCCUCCUCUGCGGUACGCCAGGCCUUGUUUCCAUCGCCUGUUCCGUCCAAGCCCUCCCAAUGAACACGACCACGCAUUCCGUUCCGACCCAGCCGGUUGGCUCCCACGCGUUCCGUUGCCUCCCGAUGAACACAAAGCAUUCCGUUGCCUCCCCAUGAACACGACGAUGAUGCUGUUUCUCCGUUUCGCCCCAGCCAUGUACGUAUGCGUGAGUAGGCGUUCGAGACCCUGCCCGUAUGUACAUACAUGGACAUAUUUUCUUUCUUGCACCCGCGCCGCCGUACGUACGUGUACGUGCGCGCCUCUACUACGACCAGUAUGUACGUACACGUUCACGACCAGAAUGACAACACUACGUACGCUUCGACCAGGUGGGUCCCGACUAUCAGGCACUUCCUUGCGUGCGAAGAUGUAGCUGGUGGGUCCCAGCAGUCAGGGGGGCGAAUCGUUUUUUUUGCCCGGACGCACUUCCUUGCGUGCGAAGAUGUAGCUGGUGGGUCCCAGCAGUCAAGGGGGCGAAUCUUUUUUUUGCCCGGACGCACUUCCUUGAGUGCGAAGGUGUCGCUGGUGGGUCCCAGCGGUCAGGGGGGCGAAUCAUUUUGUUUUUUUGCCCGGACGCACUUCCUUGCAUGCGAAGAUGUAGCUGGUGGGUCCCAGCAGUUAGGGGGAAACAUUUUUUUCGCGAAAUACAGUGGCCCGUCCGGUGGGUCCCAGCUGUCAAGUGGAAGAAUCAUUAUUUUCCGCGUAAUAAGGAGGCACUUCCUUGCUGCGGCCGUGGACCCAGCUGUCAGCCUCUCCACGUAUAGUCCACGUCCGAUGGAAGUCGUUCCUUGACCACGUUGACCACACUGCGCCGAGAGCACUAUUGCGAUGGACGACGGCAAGGCCUAGGAAGGGGACGACGGGGAGCCGGGGAAGACGCGGCAGUGGAAGGCCACACGGAGAGGAGUACGAGGGUUCACUGGUUCGGCUGCGGUGUGAGGCUGCCAUCACCGCAGGGCCUGGCCAGCGGUGGGAAUAGUAGGGGGCGGUGAGGCCACCGCGGCAGCACAGCCGGCCAUGGGAGGUAGAGCAUGCAGCACGACCGACGCUGCUUUGGGCGGCUGGAGCAAGAAGACCGGAGGUUGAAGAAGCACUACGACCGUUGGAUGGACAUCGUACGGUCACUGGAGCUAGAAUCGUUCAUAUUGACUAAAGUUGACAAAGGCCCCCGUCCCAGUUAACUUAGUAGGCCCACAAGUCAGCCUCCCACCAUGGUGGGUCCCAGCUAGCAAGGGGAGUAUUCAUUUUUUUUGUGCGUAAUAAGGAGGCACUUCCGGUGGGUCCGAGCUGACAGCGCGGGGAACAUUUUUUUCGCGAAAUACGAUGGCCCGUCCGGUGGGUCCCAGCAGUUAGGGGGAAAUGUUUUUUUCGUGAAAUAAGGUGGCCCGUCCGGUGGGGCCCCGCUGAUAGGUGGAGGAAUAAUUAUUUUGCGCGUAAUAAGGAGGCACUUCCUUGCGGCCGCCUGGACCCAACUGUCAGCCUCUCCACGUACAGUACUCUUCCGAUGGAAGUCGGUCAUUGACCAUGUUGACCACACCAUGCUGAGAGCACCAGGGCGGUGGUCUGGACGACGACGAGGCCUAGGAAGGGGACGACGCGGAGCCGGGGAAGACGCAGCAGUGGUAGCCCGCGCGGAGAGGAGUACGAGGCUUCACUGGUUCGGCUGCGGCGUGAGGCUACCGUCGCCGCAGAAUAACAGGGGGUAUGGGUGAGUAGAGGGAUACCCUGGGCCAGUGGUGGGAGUAGUAGGGGGCGGUGAGGCCUCCACGGCAUCACAGCCGGCCACGAGAGGCAGGAGCACGCGACACUACCGGCGCUGCUUUGGGCGGCUGGAGCAAGAAGACCAGAGGUUGAAGAAGCACUAUGGCUGUUGGAUGGACAUCGUACGGUCACUGGAGCUAGAAUCGUUCAUAUUGACUAAGUUAACAAAGCCCUCCGUCCCCGUCAACUUAGUUGGCCCACAAGUCAUCCUCGCACUAUGGUGGGUCCCAUCUAGCAGGGUGGGUAUUCAUUUUUUUGUGCAUAAUAAGGAGGCACUUCCUUGCGUGCGAAGAUAUAGCUGGUGGGUCCGACAUGUCAGCGGGGGGAACGUUUUUUUCGCGAAAUACAGAGGCCCUUCUGGUGGGUCCCAACUGUUAGGUGGAGGAAUCAUUAUUUUGCACAUACAGUCCAUGGCCGAUGUAUCUCGUUCGUUGACCAUGUUGACCAGGCCGCGCCGAGAGCACCAUGGCGGUGGACGACGGCGAGGCUUAGGAAGGGAACGACACGAAGCCUGGGAAGACUCGGCAAUGGUUGCCCACAUGGUGGGGAGUACGAGGGUUUACUGGUCCGGCUGCCAUCGCCGGAAAAUAACAGGAGGUCUGGGUGAGUAGAGGAAUGGCCUGGCCAGCAAUGAAGUAGGGUGGGGCGGUGCGGCCUGUGCGGCAGCACAACCGGCCACGAGAGGCGGGAGCAGGCAGUCCCACCGGAGCUGGUUUGGGCGGCUGGAGCAAGAAGAUCAGAUAUUGAAGAAGCAGCACGGCCGUUGGAUUAACAUCCAAUGGUCACUGCUGCUAGAAUCGUUUGUGGACUAAGUUAACAAAGCCAAAGUACACGUCAACCUAGUAGACCCACAAGUCAGCCUCCAAAUCUGUCCCAAACAGCAUACGACCCGAAAUUUCUAGUCGGAUUCAAAUUAAUUUUAAAUCUAAAUAUACCUUAAUUUAAAUUCAAUGAAAUUUUACCCGCACAAAAACAAUGAAAUUUAAAAUAUCAAAAUCCAAAAGAAAACAACAUUUUGGGAACUAAUUGCCUGUUUGCUGUAAUUUUUUCAUUUUACAGCCCAUUUAUUAUUACUUAUAGCCCAUUUUCUGGGCAAAAUGCAUCCCUCCUCGUCUUGAAAGAUUUCCGGCCCAGCAGGGCGUAGAAAAGCAAGUAGGCCUAUGUUGGUUAUUCUGCAAAAAACAAAAUAGCUGGCUAGCCAUUUUUCAGAAAGGAAAAAAACAAACUGGGCUGGUCAUGUGCUAAACAUAUGAAAUAAAAGCCUGGGCUAGACGGGCCACAGGUCCCGCACAACCCAUUUGAUACCCUUCUCCGUCCCGAAAAAACAAAAUUACUGCGCGCGCUGCUGGGUCCCUACUGUCAUCGUCACCAUGUACAAUCAUCUCCUUAUUCCUCUCGGUUGUUGACCAUGUUGACAACACCGGAGGGCGGCGCCGCGGCGAGCGUGGAGGACGAUGGUGAGGCCUCGGACGGGAACGAAUAGGAGCCUGGGAAGAUCAUAGCCAGCCGUGGGAGGUGGGAGCAGGCGGUCCUGCCGGCGCUGGUUUGGCUUUGGUGGCUCGAGGAAGAAGAGACUGAAGAAACGCGAUAGACAUUGAAUGUCAAUCAAACGGUCAAGGUUGGCACAAUCGUUUUUUGACUAAGUGGACACCAAGUAGCAUACUUUUUUAUAUAUAGGAAGAAAACUGCGAGGAAAAUGCGUUCGUCUGCCGUCCUCCUCACAGGGAACAUUCGCCACAUAAGUGACUAGCACCCUUGGUUUUCAACCAAGAGGUCUUGGGUUCGAAUCCGAGGAACUCUCAAUUUUGUCCUCCUUCCUUCCUCGCAAAAAAAUGGAAAGAAAAUCAAAGACUCGGGAAGACGUACAAAACAAGCUAAUGUACCAGUAAAGAGACGUUGCCGAGUUUUAGAAAAAAGAAAGACGUGCUCCUGUAGCUGGUUCGAAUCCAAACCUAGACUAUAACUAUAUAUGGUGCUAUGCUACUCUGCAAGUAAUGAAACUGACAUAUCCAACAUUCGCUUCUCCUCUUCUCUACUUACUCUGCCUAGCAUCAGAAGCUCUGGCCGCAGCAACCAUGUCCGCUGGCUGCUCGUCCACCUGCUCUUCAGCAGGCAACAACCAGAUAUGCGCCAAGUUGCCACCCGUACCAUCGCCUGUGGGUCUCAUCACACGCCCGCCGGCACGCGCACUGCAACUGAUUGCUCAUCGCAACCCACUACCGUUGGUGUGGUGCCAUUGCUGCAAAUUACGCAGAGUCAUCCGUCGCGUCUCAACCACAAUCCGCAACCCUGGCCGAGUCUUCUACAAAUGCCCGAAUCAUGGGGUAAUAAUAUGUUUAAGUGUUCUUAUGCUGCUUUCAAUUGCUGAUUUUUUUAAUAGUUUGGUUGAUGAUCUUCCAAUUUGAUUCGUGCAGAAAAGGGAAGAUUUGUGUGAUUUGUAUUUCUGGGAAGUUGCUGAUGUGGGGGAAUGCAACUAUGCUGAUUAUUUGGUUAGCCGAGAAAUCCCAAUACCAGCAGGUUGGGGUGUUGGACAAGUAACUGAAGGAACGACAGAAGAGGAAGAUGCAGAGCAGAAGGUUAAAGACGCAGUUCCUUUGAUCAUGGCCAAGCAACAACUGCUGAACGGCCUUGACAGCAAUGAGGAGAUGAAAGAGCUUGUGAAGAUAAUGGGCAAAAUCGAUGUGCUCUGUAGGAUGAUUGUCUCUUUAUUUGCAGUGUAUGUAGCACUCGUGAUGUAUUCAGUGGCUAUGACAUGAGCACUUUGCUGAAACUAGUAAUGAAUGAAACCUGCGUAGCAGGCUGGGCAUAGUGUUGUGAACAUCUAAUGAUUUCUAUUAACAGAAAUCAGGGGGUAUCCCCUUUUGCUCAUUAAAUAAAUAGAUAGCAGAGGCCCUGUCGGGUCAGGUUUGUUCUCAUUCGAAGACGUCGAGCAAAUUGCGGUCCAACAGCAAACUAUGUCAUCAAAUUGAAGUUUCACACCCAAAUAUGAGUACAACUAAACAACAAUGUCAUCAUGUUUUAGUUGUCAUACAAUCACCAAACACAAAUCAGCAUACAUAACAAGUGAUGUUCUCACAGCAAAAUACUAAACAACAUGUUCAUCAGGUUUCAGUUGUCAUAGCAAACACAAUUUCACAUAGUAGAUAAAAAACGUCUUCUAACAGGCAAAUACGACAAAAGCAAUGUAAUCAUCAUCCGCAGCAGCAGCGUCAACAUCUUCGCCAUGUGUAUCAGUCUGAAUCGUAAUUCCCCACGGUGUCAUCUUCUUCUUCAUCCUCAACGUCCUCGAACAUUGGCUUCUUCUUGAUCAACUCUUGUAUGUCCAUAGCAUGAUAGGCAAUCUUUUCGCCGGCGUCAUUGACGUGAUGGUUCUCAAAGUUGUUAGGAACAUAUGUGUUAUCUUGUACAUCAGGAGCAGUGUAAGCAUCAUCUUGUUGUGCAACUUCAUUAAACGAAUUCCUCUGCUCAAACCUUUGCAAUACUCUCCAGCCAUCGCUACGUGCAAAUGUGUCUUCCAAGAAAAAUAUCUGUGUUGCUUGAUUUGCCAAAAUAAAAGGCUCGUUGGUCUGGUACACCGCCUUGACAUUGAUGGAUUUGAAAUAAUCAUCAGCUCUGGGUUUUGCGAUCCUGGAAAAUAGGUUAUACCAACGACAGCACAACAGAACCACACACCGAUGAUCCUCGAAACUGGAGAUAUACUGCAACUGAACAAUGUCUGUUAUGUUAGCAUACAUUUCAGUUGUCUCUUUGUCAUACAUAUCCGUGCUCAUUAUGGCACUGUUUUGUGUCUUCCUGCCUUCGUCUCGUGCAAGGGUGUUGUAGCGCACAUCUCCAACAACGCAAGAUUCAUAAUGUCUUACCCGAGUAUCAGGACCCAUUGCUAGUGAGUAAAGGGCAUCAUCAACUGCCUGCCCAUCCUCCCGCAUCUUCUUAACCUAUGGUUAGAAAAUAGACAAGCUGAUCAUCUUAUGUACUCAAUAUAUUAAAAAAACUGACAGUGCACUUCAAAAGCUUACAUGGUUCUUGAACCAUUUCACAAAUCCUGCCAUAACCAGUUUGUCAAUGUUUCUUGGAUUUUGCGGCAGUAACUCCUCUUUGUACAUGCUGCACAACAUAGUGAUCACGUCAAACAUCUAAAUAUAUAAGAAUGUGCUGCAAGUUUAGUAGAUUAUGAUGUAUAAGCUGCAGUACUGCACUUACUUGAUAUAAGGUAGUAUCUCAGGACAGUUAUUCAACACAUACCAAACCAUUUUGUCCAAAUCUUUAGGUUUGUCCUCUUGUCGACUCUUCCCUGUAACUCGAACAGAAUAAUCGAAAACACUGAGCCCGGGAUUGUCUUCACCCACCUCUUUGCUAAGCUGAUCAGCUGUUUCAAUGUAUUUUGAGCAGAAUGUCAACGCUUCUGUAGCAAUGUAGGCCUCUGCAAUGGAACCCUCAGGUCUAGCUCUGUUCCUAACAUAGCCCUUGAAAGUGCCUAGCCGCCUUUCAAUAGGGUAAAUCCAGCCAUACUGUACUGGACCUCUAAGUAGUGCCUCAUCAGGUAGAUGAACAACCAAAUGCACCAUCACAUCAAAGAAGGCCGGAGGAUAUAUCUUCUCAAGGUCGCAUAGGGUAGUUGGUAUCUUGUCUCUAAGAUGCUCCAAACCAUAUAUCCUGAUAUUUCUACUGCAGAGUUCCCUGAAGAAUUGUCCCAACUCUGCAACUGCUCUGUAUAAGUCAGGGCGGCCCAAUCCUCUAAGGAUAACAGGUAAAACCCUUUGAAGUAGGACGUGUCAGUCAUGAGUUUUCAACCCUUGUACCUUGUUUCCAUCUGCACUGACUCUCCUUUCAGGGUUGGAAGCAAAUCCAUGUGGCAAUCUCACACGUGACAGGACCUCAUAGAAUUCUUUUCUUUUUACCUUGUCCAAGAUGUACACAGCUGGUGCCAUAUCCCGUGGUUUACCUUCAUCUUGCACCUGCAAAUCCUUUCUGAUACCCAGGUGUGUCAAAUCAAUCCUAGAUUUUAAGGUAUCUUUCGUCUUGCCUUCAAUGUUAAGAAGUGUGCCGAUAAUGCUGUCACAUAUAUUUUUCUCGAUGUGCAUCACAUCAAGAUUAUGCCGCAGAUCCAAAUCUUUCCAAUACUCCAAGUCCCACAAAGUGGACCUGCGGGUAAACAAUAAUCUCUUCUACCGUGCCAUGCUUCCUUUUCCCGCUACCAUUACCAGGAUGGUUUCCUGGUGUAAUAUGCCUGACCUUCUCUAAUUCCACUUGCAACUCAUCGGCGGUGAGCCUCUUUGGCGCAUCACGGUUUUCAUGCUUUGCAUUGAACACAUGUCUUUGGUAUUUUCUAGGAUGCGGCUUGUCCUUGGCAAGGAAACAGUGGUGUCCAAUGUAACAGGUCUUGCUAAGUAUUGCGUAUGACAGCGGAUUCCUGUCACAGCGAACACAUGCAUUGUAACCAUGUGUCGUUUGCCCUGACAUAGUGCCCAAAGCCGGAUAAUCAUGGAUGCACCAAAUUACAACAACACGCAGAAAGAAAUCAGCUGGUGGGCUUCUAUAUAGGUCUCGAGUGAGAACACCCUUCCAUAGCUGUUGAAGUUCCUCCACAAGAGGCUCCAUGAACAAAUCAAAAUCCUUUCCAGGACUUUUUGGACUUGGGAUGAACAAGGCCAUCAUGUAGUUUGAUUCUUUGGUGCAGACAUUUGGAGGCAUGUUGUAAGGGAUAACAAGCACUGGCCACAUGCUAUAUGUGGCGCUCUGGUGGCCAAAUGGGUUAAAUCCAUCUGAAGCUAAGCCAAGUCUAAUGUUUCUCGGGUCAGCAGCAAACUCUUUGUGUUUAUCAUUGAAGCUUUUCCACUCACUACCAUGAGAUGGAUGGCUCAUUACAUUCUGAUCUCUGUACUCCUAGUUCCUAGAAUGCCACAAUACAUCCUCUCUUGUUUCAGCAUCAUGAAACAACCUCUGCAAUCUUGGUGUAAUUGGAAAAUGUCUCAGAACAUUAUGAGGAACCCUCUUCACAGCUUCACCAUCUUUCCAUCUUGAUGAUUUGCAUUUGGGGCAUUCACUUAAGUUGGCAUAAUCCUUCCGGAACAGAACACAAUUAUUCUUACAAACAUGGAUCAUAUCAUAUCCAAUUCCAACUACACGAAGGAAAUUCUUCAUUUUACUGUAGGUGUGUGGCAGCUCAGACGCAUCUGGGAAAGAUUUGCGGAAAGCAACCAACAUCGCAUCGAAUGAUUUGUUGGUCAUCCGCUCAGAUGUCUUCACCUGAAGAAAGGUGACCAUAGCUGAGAAUACUGACAGCUUAUUUCCUGGGGUGACAACAAUGUUGUAUUGUUCCAACAUGCAGGCCCACCGUUUUUCUUCUACAGGUGAAAGUUCACGGAAUGCACGAGCAUUUCGUAGCAUUGUUUCAAUGUUGGUCAAGCUCACUGGCUCCGCCACCACCACCUCCUCCUCCUCUUCCACCUGAGCAUCAAGCAGAUCAAGAUGGUGAUCUGCUGCUUCCACGUAGUCAAUAACAUUGACGUUCACAGCUUCACCAUGAUGAACCCACCUAGUAUAUGUGACCGACAUCCCAUACAAGUGUAGAUGAUUUUGCACAGUUGACUGGGGUCUUGUAACUGAAUUCAUACAACUGCUACACCGGCAGAGCACAUCUGAUUUCUGACCACCGUACUCAGCUCUGAUAAAGUUCAUGAAGUUUUCAACCCCCUCGACAUAUGCAGCGGAGAAUCUUCAAGCAGAAGUUAUCCAAGUCCUGUCCAUCUGUUAGACAUACAAAUUAGUUCUUCUACUAGAUAUUAUAGGAAAAACAUAUAUGCUUUUUUAUGAAGUCCAGAAAAAAAUACGUAGGUCGAUGUCUAAAGCUAUGGCAAGAUAUUUGGACGAGCAGAUCUAAGUAACGAAAUAUAUGUAAAGCUAAUUCAGCAAACAGAUUUGAGUGCUAAAUUAUGGCAGGCUGUUUCAGCAGUCAAUGAGCCCGAGCACACAGCCAUCGAACUAUCGAAGGCCAUCGCAGCAACAAAGAUCGAGUAUAAAACGGUGUAGAGCUAUUUCACCUAACAGAUUGGCUACUAGACCAUGGCAAUCUACGUCACAGUAAAUAUAUGGCAGGAUAUUUUAGCAACUAAUCGGCCUUGGCAUGCCAUCUCAGCUAAGUAGAUUGAGUGCAGAACAGGGCAAGGAAGCUUCUUAAGCAGAGCAUAUUGAUAGUAAACUACUUCGGCAAACAGUGAGAUUAACAUCGUCUAUCAGCUAACAUUCAGCGCUACACCGACAUGAAUGGGGCCUCAGUCUAGAAUGCGCGUACCGUGGGAGAAGCUGACCGCCGUGCGUCUCCACACGAACGUCGCCAGCGGUGGCGGCGCUGACCGCCAUGCGCCUCCACAAGAAUGUAGCCAGAGGUGGCGGCGCAGCUAGAGGACGGCAGUCUACGAGAGCAUACUGUGGGAGCGAGAGGAUCGCCGUGCGUCCCCUUGAAGAACCGCGGCGCCGACGUAUCGGCACGGCGGGGAGGGCGGCUUUGGCGGAGCGAAUGGAGUNNNNNNNNNNNNNNNNNNNNNNNNNNNNNNNNNNNNNNNNNNNNNNNNNNNNNNNNNNNNNNNNNNNNNNNNNNNNNNNNNNNNNNNNNNNNNNNNNNNNNNNNNNNNNNNNNNNNNNNNNNNNNNNNNNNNNNNNNNNNNNNNNNNNNNNNNNNNNNNNNNNNNNNNNNNNNNNNNNNNNNNNNNNNNNNNNNNNNNNNNNNNNNNNNNNNNNNNNNNNNNNNNNNNNNNNNNNNNNNNNNNNNNNNNNNNNNNNNNNNNNNNNNNNNNNNNNNNNNNNNNNNNNNNNNNNNNNNNNNNNNNNNNNNNNNNNNNNNNNNNNNNNNNNNNNNNNNNNNNNNNNNNNNNNNNNNNNNNNNNNNNNNNNNNNNNNNNNNNNNNNNNNNNNNNNNNNNNNNNNNNNNNNNNNNNNNNNNNNNNNNNNNNNNNNNNNNNNNNNNNNNNNNNNNNNNNNNAAUAUUUGGCCGAAGGGCGGUUGAAUCGAAUUUGGGGGGAAUUUGUGUGUGUGUGUGUGGGGGGGGGGGAGUUUGGCGCAUGGUCGGUUUCUCCAAGUGCAGUCCCACGUGUCAGUGAAGAGGCAAGCCGAAGCGCGUUCCGUUUGCGUGAGCCGUGUGCAGGACCGAACGUGUGUGGGGUGCAAUGCGACCGCGACAGGCGCCUUUUUUCCUUUUAAACUAGGUGCUUCGCCCCCUCAAAAAAAUGUUGCUUCGCGCGAUCCAUCGAUACUACUACUGGUAAUCCGGUAAUCCCGACUAAUAAAACGGCGCAGCCGGGUCUUUUCCCGCGCGAUAUGCUGGGAGGUUGGCUUAGUUGGGUUUUUUAGAUUUGUCUCGGUUCAAUAAAAAGCAGAGUUGGUGAUGAUGGUG